rnacentral:rRNA from 1 species
GAUGAACGCUGGCGGCGUGCCUAAUACAUGCAAGUCGAGCGAAUGGAUUGAGAGCUUGCUCUUAUGAAGUUAGCGGCGGACGGGUGUGUAACACGUGGGUAACCUGCCCAUAAGACUGGGAUAACUCCGGGAAACCGGGGCUAAUACCGGAUAACAUUUUGAACCGCAUGGUUCGAAAUUGAAAGGCGGCUUCGGCUGUCACUUAUGGAUGGACCCGCGUCGCAUUAGCUAGUUGGUGGGGUAACGGCACACCAAGGCAACGAUGCGUAGCCGACCUGGGAGGGUGAUCGGCCACACGGGGACUGAGACACGGCCCAGACUCCUACGGGAGGCAGCAGUAGGGAAUCUUCCGCAAUGGACGAAAGUCUGACGGAGCAACGCCGCGUGAGUGAUGAAGGCCUUCGGGUCGUAAAACUCUGUUGUUAGGGAAGAACAAGUGCUAGUUGAAUAAGCUGGCACCUUGACGGUACCUAACCAGAAAGCCACGGCUAACUACGUGCCAGCAGCCGCCGUAA